UACGGAAGAUGCGAGCGUUGUUCGGAUUUACUGGGCGUAAAGGGAGCGUAGGCGGUCGGGUGUGUUGAAUGUGAAAGCCCAAAACUCAACGAUGGAAUUGCAUUCAAAACUGCCCGGCUCGAGUACUGGAGAGGAGAGCGGAAUUCUUGGUGUAGCGGUGAAAUGCGUAGAUAUCAAGAAGAACACCGGUGGCGAAGGCGGCUCUCUGGCCAGAUACUGACGCUGAGGCUCUAAAGUUAGGGGAGCAAAC
rnacentral:rRNA from 1 species